AUUCUUUUUUGGUUCAUAAGUGUGAUGAUUUCGUUUUCAUCUUAAAGUAUGAGAUCAGCCUCCCUCAAACCUUGUUACUACAUCAGCACCACAUUACCCAUCCAAUG
ensembl:snoRNA